UUCUGGAAAGCACGGUUUGUGCUCAGG
rnacentral:piRNA from 1 species